rnacentral:rRNA from 1 species
CCUACGGGUGGCUGCAGUGGGGGAUAUUGGACAAUGGGGGGAACCCUGAUCCAGCGACGCCGCGUGAGUGAAGAAGUAUUUCGGUAUGUAAAGCUCUGUCAGCAGGGAAGAAAGAAAUGACGGUACCUGACCAAGAAGCCGCGGCUAACUACGGGCCAGCAGCCGCGGUAAUACGUGGGGGGCAAGCGUUAUCCGGAAUUACUGGGUGAAAAGGGAGAGUAGGCGGUUAAGUAAGUCUGGAGUGAAAGGGCGGGGCUCAACCCCGGGACGGGUCUGGAAACUAUUUAACUUGAGUGCAGGAGAGGUAGGCGGAAUGCCUGGUGUAGCGGUGAAAUGCGUAGAUAUUAGGAAGAACACCAGUGGCGAAGGCGGCUUACUGGGCUAUAACUGACGUUGAGGCUCGAAAGCGUGGGGAGCAAACAGGAUUAGAUACCCCAGUAGUC